UAGUUGACUUCACUCAGGCCUACACGAGCAGCGUCUUCCUUCGGAUUUGUUUGGAUCAUUUUUGAUGGCAAAACAGCACAAAUGUUUUAAAUUUCCUCUGCCUGCACCUGAGGCCCUCAAGAUCUUAGAAGAAGAGGAUCACGUGUUUCUCUUCUGGAAGGGGCUUUGAGGUGUAUGUGCAUGACAGUGUCACCAACUCCACCAAGUGUUUAGGCAACACAACAGAGACGUUCUUCAGAAUCAACAGCCUGCUGGCAGGUCAUAACUACACGUUCUCGGUGCGGGCGCGAUGUCUACUCAGUAACCAGCUUUGUGUAGAGUCAGCGGUGUUGUUAUGUGAUGAACUGGGCAAAGCAGCAGGGCAGAAUGAUGCAGCGUCUCAGUCGGGUAAAUCGGAGGACAUGGCAGCUAUUGUGGUGCCAGUGUUGUUCCUGCUGUUAGUGGGUGUGUGUGGAGGCCUGGUGGUGCUUUACCUCAGACAUCGUCGCCUACAGCACAGCUUCACUGCCUUCGCUAACAGCCACUACAACUCUCGUCUGGGCUCUGCUAUUUUCUCCUCAGGAGAUGAGCUGGGUGAUGAUGAUGAAGACGCUCCUAUAAUCAGUAGUUUUUCAGAUGACGUUCCGAUGGUCAUUGCGUAGCUGGACAAACCUUUCUCUUCUCCUCCUUCACUUUCACUCCACAACCUUAUCAUAUUUUCUUAUGUGCUCAUCCGGCACACCUUCAAGCUACUCAUGACCCCUGUCACUUAAAAAAAAAGCUGGAUUUGUGUUUCCAGACCCACAGGAAGACAAGAAAGCAUGGAGCGAAAGAGAUAUUUUUGAAUAUAAGAUGCACUUUUUUCGGAUGUGCAAUAACUUUUUUUUAUAUAUAUAAUAUAUGUGGGUAUUGGACAUUGUAGGCAUUAACUGAAGCAAACUGUGAAGGAGUUGGUCAGCUGAUCAGCACACACACACCGACCCAACUAGGAAAAGACCCUUAUUGUACAACAAAGUCUCACAUGAGCAUUACAUUUUGCUUAAAGCCAAAACAAGCACCUAGAUAUGGGUACAUCAGUGCAAAAACACACACAAAAGAAGAGUAAAAAAAA
ensembl:processed_transcript